UCUACAUGAUCCAUUGUCGUGGGAUGGUU
rnacentral:piRNA from 1 species